GACGAACGCUGGCGGCGUGCUUAACACAUGCAAGUCGAACGCUGAAGCUCAGCUUUUGUUGGGUGGAUGAGUGGCGAACGGGUGAGUAACACGUGAGUAACCUGCCCCCUUCUUUGGGAUAACGCCCGGAAACGGGUGCUAAUACUGGAUAUUCACUGGUCUUCGCAUGGGGGUUGGUGGAAAGGGUUUUUCUGGUGGGGGAUGGGCUCGCGGCCUAUCAGCUUGUUGGUGGGGUGAUGGCCUACCAAGGCCUUGACGGGUAGCCGGCCUGAGAGGGUGACCGGUCACAUUGGGACUGAGAUACGGCCCAGACUCCUACGGGAGGCAGCAGUGGGGAAUAUUGCACAAUGGGCGCAAGCCUGAUGCAGCGACGCCGCGUGAGGGAUGGAGGCCUUCGGGUUGUGAACCUCUUUCGCUCAUGGUCAAGCCGCAACAAUGGUUGUGGUGAGGGUAGUGGGUAAAGAAGCGCCGGCUAACUACGUG
rnacentral:rRNA from 1 species